UACAGAGGGUGCGAGCGUUGUCCGGAAUCACUGGGCGUAAAGGGCGCGUAGGUGGUGGCUUAAGCGUGCGGUGAAAGCUCGGGGCUCAACCUCGGAUCGGCCGUGGCGACUCGUGGGCUGGAGCACUGUAGAGGCGGGUGGAAUUCCGGGUGUAGCGGUGGAAUGCGUAGAGAUCCGGAAGAACACCAGUGGCGAAGGCGGCCCGCUGGGCAGUGGCUGACGCUGAGGCGCGACAGCGUGGGGGAGCAAACAGG
rnacentral:rRNA from 1 species